CAAAUCAUUUUACUUCCAUCGCUUUGGCGCCCCCUCUGGUUCGGCGCCCCUAUGUGCCGCAUAUAGUGCAUACCCACUUUUUGCGCCACUGCAGCAGGCACCAACCACCUUGGGGGCAAACAGGCCGGAUCUCCAGAUACCACAGGAAGAUGGCCCGCCAGCGGGUUUUGAGGAACCCGAUUGACCACUCCACAAUGUUACGCCCUCUGGCGUGGUUGCAUCGGGCUUCAACAUGACCUGGUAAUCAAAAUUCACAUGGAUUUAUCAAUGUCACCAAACUAACAAUUUGUUUCUAUGCAUGUGUGACAGAAGAGAAGGUGCUUACCGGCAACAGGGUGGUAUGGCGUCAUAAUGGCCACGGGACGCUGCAGGCAUGGGUACCCUCCAUCACCCAGCAGGAAGUACCCAGCUGGUGGCAAAACGUUGAUGUGGCAUCCAUCAAUGGCCCCAGCAGCACAUCCAAAGGCCUCGUGACCUGCCAGGCGAGCAAAGCCAGCCCCCACCUUCUCCAUCUCCUCUGCCUUGGGGAGAUGAAUCAUCCUGUGGAGGUAUGCCAUCAUCUCCUCCACCACGCCAUGGACCGUCCUGCAAACUGUGGACUGGGGCAUCCCAAAGGCGUCUGCCGUCACCCUGUACGAUGCUCCACAGGCCAGCCAGUACACCGCCACCAGCACCUCCACCUCAUGGCUCCAUCAAUGGGCUUUUUGCCUGGGGCAGCAAGGCAAGCAACCGGUAGAAGCUCUCCCUGGAGAGCCUGAAGGCUGGCUACAGGUCCCCUCCAGAGAAAAACACAGCUAGUAUUUUAACGUACAAUAAAUUGCAAUUAUGUAUUUAA